AUUGAACGCUGGCGGCAGGCCUAACACAUGCAAGUCGAGCGGCAGCGGGAAAGUAGCUUGCUACUUUUGCCGGCGAGCGGCGGACGGGUGAGUAAUGCCUGGGAAAUUGCCCAGUCGAGGGGGAUAACAGUUGGAAACGACUGCUAAUACCGCAUACGCCCUACGGGGGAAAGCAGGGGACCUUCGGGCCUUGCGCGAUUGGAUAUGCCCAGGUGGGAUUAGCUAGUUGGUGAGGUAAUGGCUCACCAAGGCGACGAUCCCUAGCUGGUCUGGGAGGAUGAUCAGCCACACUGGAACUGAGACACAGUCCAGACUCCUACGGGAGGCAGCAGGGGGGAAUAUUGCACAAUGGGGGAAACCCUGAUGCAGCCAUGCCGCGUGUGUGAAGAAGGCCUUCGGGUUGUAAAGCACUUUCAGCGAGGAGGAAAGGUUGAUGCCUAAUACGUAUCAACUGUGACGUUACUCGCAGAAGAAGCACCGGCUAACUCCGUGCCAGCCGCCGCAGUAA
rnacentral:rRNA from 1 species